UGGGGAAUUUUGGACAAUGGGGGAAACCCUGAUCCAGCCAUCCCGCGUGUGCGAUGAAGGCCUUCGGGUUGUAAAGCACUUUUGGCAGGAAAGAAACGUCGCGGGUUAAUACCCCGCGAAACUGACGGUACCUGCAGAAUAAGCACCGGCUAACUACGUGCCAGCAGCCGCGGUAAUACGUAGGGUGCAAGCGUUAAUCGGAAUUACUGGGCGUAAAGCGUGCGCAGGCGGUUCGGAAAGAAAGAUGUGAAAUCCCAGAGCUUAACUUUGGAACUGCAUUUUUAACUACCGGGCUAGAGUGUGUCAGAGGGAGGUGGAAUUCCGCGUGUAGCAGUGAAAAUGCGUAGAUAUGCGGAGGAACACCGAUGGCGAAGGCAGCCUCCUGGGAUAACACUGACGCUCAUGCACGAAAAGCGUGGGGAGCAAAACAGGAUUAGAUACCCUGGUAGUCCACGCCCUAAAACGAUGUCAAACUAGCUGUUGGGGGCCUUCGGGCCUUGGUAGCGCAGCUAACGCGUGAAGUUGACCGCCUGGGGAGUACGGUCGCAAGAUUAAAAACUCAAAA
rnacentral:rRNA from 1 species